UACGUAGGGUGCAAGCGUUAAUCGGAAUUACUGGGCGUAAAGCGUGCGCAGGCGGUUUUGUAAGUCAGAUGUGAAAUCCCCGGGCUUAACCUGGGAACUGCGCUUGAAACUACAAGGCUAGAGUGUGGCAGAGGGGGGUGGAAUUCCACGUGUAGCAGUGAAAUGCGUAGAGAUGUGGAGGAACACCGAUGGCGAAGGCAGCCCCCUGGGUUAACACUGACGCUCAGGCACGAAAGCGUGGGGAGCAAACAGG
rnacentral:rRNA from 1 species